rnacentral:siRNA from 1 species
GGGUGUGGUCGAGUAUACUGGUCG